UUUUUUGUUGUUCUCUUCCUUUAGGGGCAAUCAGCUCCUCACUGAGUUCUUACUAUGGGCAAUCAAGGUCCAGAAUUAUACUUCAUCAAUUCUGCAGGAAAAUUUAUUGUUUCAUUUUUCAUAAGCAAAGCUAUGAGUCUGCCCUCGUUAAAGGAGAUAAUGGAGACAUUUUGGAGGAUGCUUUAA
rnacentral:lncRNA from 1 species